CUGAGUUAUCCAACUCCCAAACCCCUGUGAACAUACCUAUGUUGCUUCGGCGGACCGUCCCGCGGCGCGCCCUCAUGGCGUGACCCGGAUCUAGGCGCCCGCCGGGGAACCAAACUCUUGUUUUCCAGUGUCUCCUCUGAGUGGCAUAAGCAAAAAUAACA
rnacentral:misc_RNA from 1 species